UACGGAGGGUGCGAGCGUUGUUCGGAAUCACUGGGCGUAAAGCGCGUGUAGGCGGCCCGCUAAGUCUGAUGUGAAAGCCCGAGGCUCACCCUCGGAAGUGCAUUGGAAACUGGCGGACUGGAGUCCCGGAGAGGAGGGUGGAAUUCCUGGUGUAGCGGUGAGAUGCGUAGAUAUCAGGAGGAACACCGGUGGCGAAGGCGGCCCUCUGGACGGUGACUGACGCUGAGACGCGAAAGCGUGGGGAGCAAACAGG
rnacentral:rRNA from 1 species